UUUGAUCCUGGCUCAGGACGAACGCUGGCGGCGUGCCUAACACGUGCAAGUCGAACGGAGUAAUGAAAUAAGUUUACUUAGAUUAUUACUUAGUGGCGAACGGGUGAGUAACGCGUGGGUAACCUGCCCUUAAGACCGGGACAACAGCUGGAAACGGCUGCUAAUACCGGAUGGAUUUAUUGGAAGGCAUCUUCUAAUAAGGAAAGCUGGCCUCUGUAAAUGCUAGCGCUUAGGGAUGGAUCCGCGUCUGAUUAGCUAGUUGGUAGGGUAAAGGCCUACCAAGGCGACGAUCAGUAGCCGGCCUGAGAGGGUAAACGGCCACACUGGGACUGAGACACGGCCCAGACUCCUACGGGAGGCAGCAGUGGGGAAUCUUCCGCAAUGGACGAAAGUCUGACGGAGCAACGCCGCGUGUAUGAAGAAGGCCUUCGGGUUGUAAAAUACUGUUGUUGGGGAAGAACGGCUGGAGUGUAAAUAAUGCUUCAGAUUGACGGUACCCAACGAGGAAGCCCCGGCUAACUACGUGCCAGCAGCCGCGGUAAUACGUAGGGGGCAAGCGUUGUCCGGAAUCAUUGGGCGUAAAGGGCGCGUAGGCGGGCUUAUAAGUCUGAUGUGAAAGUGCGGAGCUUAACUCCGUAAAGCAUUGGAAACUGUAGUCUUGAGGACAGGAGAGGAAAGUGGAAUUCCUAGUGUAGCGGUGAAAUGCGUAGAUNUUAGGAGGAACACCAGUGGCGAAGCGACUUUCUGGACUGUAACUGACGCUGAGG
rnacentral:rRNA from 1 species